CACAUAAUAUAUAAUAUGUGAUAAACAAUGUGCGUACCUAGCUAACAUUACUGACCUUUACUGAUCGAAAAACGGUUCAACUAAACUUGUCAAAACUAUAAACGAUUUGAAAGGCUCUUUUUAGUCUUUUUAUACUUUCGUCCGUCCACGUACGUGUAUAACUAUAUACAAAUAUAAUUGCCCAACCUAGGUAAUUGACCGUUAUAUAAUAUCAGCAAUGACUGUGGUUUAGGAGACAAAAAUCAUUUUGCAACCAUUAUACGUAGCAUAGUGACUCAUCUAUCAUAAUAUUAUACUAUACACUCGUAUUAUGCCAGAGAAAUAUUAAUCAUAAUGGUGUAAUAUACCCCGAUAAUCGUUAUCGUUUUCGGCAUUAUAAUGUUAUAUUUAUACUCAUUAAUCAUAACUAUACGAAUAACGAUAACCACGGUUUUGUUGUUGAAGUAUCAAUCUGCGUGUGCAUACUGAUUACACACUAUAAUAAGACGAAAAUACGAAUAUUAUGAGUUAUGACGAAAUGUCUACAGCACACCGGCGCGGCUGGUUAAUGUCACCUGCAGCCUGCAGGUCAUACGCAUUGUAUGUACCUACCGCGGCAUUAUUAUAUUUUGUUGCGAUGCGUGCGACGACGAUGACACACGCCCUGCACUAUAUAAUAUUUUAGUAUAUAUGGUACUGUGUGUUGACACAUCGUACGGAUUAUAAGAAGAAAAAAAGGGUACAGACAAAAGCAGGCGGCCACGUGGAGUGAAACGAACGGAUCGUGCUGCGGUAUACAAAAUAUUAAAUAUAUGACGUAUUAUGACGUGCAUAUACAAUAUAUAGUUCCACGAAGAGACAGCCAUUAUUCCAGUUUAUCUCGAUCAAGAUGAUAUAAUACAUAUUACUGAAUUCACAGCCUUAUGAAGAGUUGGGAAAAGUUUUUUGUCAUUUUAUUGGUUCGCGACGGUGAUUUUUCUCCUAAUAAUAUUACAUCGAUAUACAACGGUACACACUUACAGGUGGAGAGAGUUUUUAAAAAUCGAUUUUCAAGUCAAUUCAAAUCUUACCAUUUAGCCCGUUUUGAAAAAUCCCAAGACAUGUCGGCAGAAACAUCGAAGUGCCAUUACAACGGACAGGAAGUACAACGGAAAGCAGAAAGAAUCGGCUCCAUGUGAUGCAUACAAGUUAAAUUUAUUGCUACGGUGGAGACUGCUCGAAAAAGACUGACGAAAGACGACUCGACGUCGGUGGUGCGGUGAAGUCGAAACGAAAAACGCAGACAAAUAAUAAACAUACGCGUGCGCCGAGCUCGUAUUUACAACAUAAUCGUUAAUUUUUGGACACCGUACCUCAAUAUUAUACUGUAACAUUCCAAUUGAUAAAGAAAAAUGAAAAAUAAACAAACAGUAAAGGUGACCAAAACCAUAAGCAUUCUCAAGGUAGCCGACCGGACAUCGAAAAACCCAGUGCAUCACUAUCGCGGGGACACACAUAUACCGCCCAUACCGCAACGACGAUAAACAGUUUUGGGAAGAUUGGAAGAACUGUUCGCCGACAGAAGAGAAGGAUUGAUUAUUUUUUAUUCCGAUGGAUUUUAGACUUGGACGUAAAAUACGCGUAAAUAUAUUAUUAUAGUAACAUGUGAUACUGUUAUUAUUAUCAUCUGAAUACGACCUCGUUAACUCCACGGGCUGCUGAGAGACCAGUACAAUGAUAUUGUACACGCAACCUUCCGACGACGCUAUGUGAUUGAGUGAUUCAUCCAAUCAUUGGAAAUUUCCAGGCAUCACUCGUAUAAAUUAUUACAAUUAUUUGUACACGAGGACAAUAUAAUAUAGUAUAAUAUAGGUACAGGAUGAUUAACUAAGAAUGUUCAUCCCCUUUUUUCUUGAGGAUUCUUCACGAUGAUGUAGUUAUUCAAAUUUCAAAGUCUGAUAUUUAGAAUUUGAAAACACAAUAUAAUAUUUUAGCAUAUUUUCAAACUCACCUAACCACUUAAUGAAUUUAUUGUAGAAAUUCAAGCUUCAGUUUUUCUAAUAACUCCUUCCCCUUUUUUGAGACUGUAAAUUAUAUAUAAUGUAUUGAUUAUGUAUUACAUCGACAUUUUCAAAAAAACUUUACUCACUAAAUAUUUAUUACGGUAAAAAUGGAAGUUCUCAAGUGGAAAAACAUUUAUUGAUCUCUUUGUGUAAAACAAAAACUGAAUACAGUUUACAAACAACACUCAAAUAUGGAUACAUAACCCAUUCUAAUAAGAUACACAUUCACAACACACAAUCACGUUAUGGCCAAAAACGAUCCAUCUAUAAAUAAAUCCUGCACAGUGGAUAUUAUCCGUUAAGCAUAUCGAAUAGGGUAUCAAAAAUAUGAAGGUAUGGGAAACAAACAACAAAUAGGAGAAUUAUUGCAAACGAACUUUUAAUCUAACAUAAAUAUUAUCAAUUUCUUAAAAGAAAUUAAACUGUAGGUACAAGUGUACAACUGAAUUCGAGUUAAGAUU